rnacentral:lncRNA from 10 species
UCAGUGGGCCUCUGAACAAGAGGGGCGUGCAGAGCGGCUUUUUGGCCUCAGUUAACUCUUAAAUGGGUGUCAGAGGCACUGUCUUCCCCUAGCUAUGCGCCUCGUGCCUGGGAGCCUUAGGGCCACACGGAAGGGUAGAAAUCAGUUUCAGGUCAGGAGAGAUUCCUGCUCCCAGCCCAGGCCCAGACGGCAACAGAAGCUCAUGGAAUGGCAGACUCUGGACAUGCUCCUAGAGAUGGGAGGUCAAAAUGAUCAACGUUCAGGGUCCCUUCAUCUCAGAGGGUCUCGAGUCACCUCAUUUAAAGUGUGGCCUGGGACACCUCCUAUCCAGCCAUACGCCGCCCAGGACUGGCUCAACAGCUCCACCCUCCACUGCUGUUCACCCAUGACACGUCACUUCCCACCCGCCACUGCUGGCUCACCUGUGACACCCCAGGCAGCUCAGAUGCCCGGCAGGUCCUGCUGGUGUGUGUUAGCCGGGGUCUCCAAAGAACCAGAGCCAGCAGGGGACACACCCAUCUCUGUAUCUGGAGAAAAAGAUCGAUGAGAAGGAAUCUGCUCCUGUGAUGAUGGAGGCUGACAAGUCCCGAGAGCCACGUAUUUCCUCAGCUGAGUGCAUGGGGCCAGACCACACUGGGGAGGGCAGUCAGCGUCACUCAGAGCACCGGGUCAUCUCAUGCAGAAACACCCUCAAAGAAAUAGCCCAAAUUAUGCUGACCAAAUAUCUGGGCACCCCGUGCCCCAGACAAGUUGACACAGAAAAUUAACCAUCACAGGUUAACUCCAUCCAGGAGUGGAAUUGCUGGGUCAUAGAGAAGGCAUAGGAAUUCACAGAAAUCACCAAACGGUUUUCAGGCGGUUGUGCCAUGUUAAACUCCCACUGGAAAGAGAGGAGAGCUGUGAUUGUUCCACGUCCUCAGCAACGUUUAGAAUAGGCAGUCUUUGGCCGGGCCGGGCACAGAGGCUCAAACCUGUAACCCCAGCACUUUGGGAGGCCAUAGUGGGUGGAUUACCUGAGAUCAAGAGUUCAAGACCAGCCUGGCCAACAUGGUUAAACCCCGUCUCUAUUAAAAAUGCAAAAAUUAGCCAGGCGUGGUGGUGCGUGCCUGUAAUUCCAGCUACUUGGGGGCUGAGGCAGGAGAAUCGUUUGAACCCAGGAGGCAGAGUUUGCAGCGAGCCGAGAUCGCGCCACUGCACUCCAGCCUGGGCAACAGAAUGAGACUCUGUCUCCAAAAAAAGAAAAAAUAAAUAAAGAAAAGUCAUUCUGUAGUUUUAGCCUUUGUGAAGGCAUGAAGUGGCAUCUCAUUAUGGUUUAAAUGCUUAUUUCGCUGGUGACUAAUGAGGCUGACCAGUUUUUCACUGCAUUUAGCCCUUUCAAUGCACUUCAGGUCUGUGAAGUACUUGUUCAAGUGUAUUGCCCAUUUUAAAAAUUGGUUUGUUUAUCUUUUUCUUAUCAAUUUG